rnacentral:rRNA from 1 species
GUAGGUGGCAAGCGUUGUCCGGAAUUAUUGGGCGUAAAGCGCGCGCAGGCGGUUCUUUAAGUCUGAUGUGAAAGCCCACGGCUCAACCGUGGAGGGUCAUUGGAAACUGGAGAACUUGGGUACAGAAGAGGAAAGCGGAAUUCCACGUGUAGCGGUGAAAUGCGUAGAGAUGUGGAGGAACACCAGUGGCGAAGGCGGCUUUCUGGUCUGUAACUGACGCUGAGGCGCGAAAGCGUGGGGAGCAAACAGGAUUAGAUACCCUGGUAGUCCACGCCGUAAACGAUGAGUGCUAAGUGUUAGGGGGUUUCCGCCCCCCUUAGUGCUGCAGCUAACGCAUUAAGCACUCCGCCUGGGAGUACGGCCGCAAGGCUG